ACUUUCAUCUACAAAGGUAGUAAAAUAAACCAAUUAAAUUUGGCGGUUAUAUAAUUUUAAAGAAACUUGUUUUAUAAACGACACUACUCGAUUAAUUUUACUUAAUUUAAAAGUUUAUAUACCGCCGUUCCAAGAAAUGUUAAUAAUAUAAUUUCAAGAAAAAUAAAACUCAAAAAUCAGGUCAAGGUGUAAUACACAAUUAAGAAAAAAUAAGUCACAUAUAAAAAAAAUUUAUGAAAUACUAAAUCAUAAAUAAUGUAAGAAAAAGAAUUUAAAAUUAAAUUUUUAAUAAAAUUUAAAAUUGAAACAUUAAAAUAUAACGC
rnacentral:rRNA from 1 species